rnacentral:lncRNA from 1 species
CACCUUAGAUAUUGCUGGCCAGCUCAUGAAUUGUGGCUUGUGGUCCAGCUAAUCUUUCCUAGUCUAUUCAGCUAUGGCCAGAGAAGAUGUGCUUAACUUGUGGAGCCUUACUGUUUCUCUAAGGACAUUCUUCUACAUAAUGUUGCGUCAGUAGAAUAAUUUUCUCACCAAGUGAUAGGUAGGUCAGUAAAUCCUCUCCUACACCGUAGUUAUUUGCUUUAAGCCAACUUGAAGUGAACUUCUGUCUCUUCUUUAAUCUGAGAAUCUUACGUCUUCAAGCCCUGUUCACACCGCUUGUCCCAUUAGAAUAAACCUUAUUUAAGGUAAGU